rnacentral:rRNA from 1 species
GACGAACGCUGGCGGCGUGCCUAAUACAUGCAAGUUGAGCGAUGAAGAUUGGUGCUUGCACCAAUUUGAAGAGCAGCGAACGGGUGAGUAACGCGUGGGGAAUCUGCCUUUGAGCGGGGGACAACAUUUGGAAACGAAUGCUAAUACCGCAUAACAACUUUAAACAUAAGUUUUAAGUUUGAAAGAUGCAAUUGCAUCACUCAAAGAUGAUCCCGCGUUGUAUUAGCUAGUUGGUGAGGUAAAGGCUCACCAAGGCGAUGAUACAUAGCCGACCUGAGAGGGUGAUCGGCCACAUUGGGACUGAGACACGGCCCAAACUCCUACGGGAGGCAGCAGUAGGGAAUCUUCGGCAAUGGACGAAAGUCUGACCGAGCAACGCCGCGUGAGUGAAGAAGGUUUUCGGAUCGGAAAACUCUGUUGGUAGAGAAGAACGUUGGUGAGAGUGGAAAGCUCAUCAAGUGACGGUAACUACCCAGAAAGGGACGGCUAACUACGUG